rnacentral:other from 2 species
UUCUCUCUGCCCUGUUCGUGAGGUAUUAAAGCCCCUGCGGAAUAAUCAUUGAACGGGCGCCUUUUUAAGCUGUGGUGUGCUGCCCCUUUGCGGGAAUUGCCUGAAGCAGCAUUAAAGGAGCCCACCUGUUAGGGAACUCGCUGUGAGGCCCCGACCAACGGCAUGGUGGAGAGAUA